GGAAGAGGUCGUGAUUGAUGUGUUUGGUGUGGAAGAGACCACUGAGGUAGUGACGAUCUCUGGGACUGAGAUGGAGCCCAUGGGAGAGGAGGACGGCUCUGGGAAGCUGGCGUCGGCCGGGAUCUUGCAGAUGGGUUUGUGUGCGGCGAGGAUGAACUCUAACCUCUCUUUUUCUUUGAGCAGGUUGGCGAUGUCGUUCUGCAGGGCGGAUUUUUCAUCCUCAAGCUGGUCAGUUUCCUGUUGUGGAACAUCAAAGGGUUAGUUUAAUGAUGUCAUGGAUGGAACGAGCUAGAAUGGGAUUUGGAGGGAAAAUGCAGAAUACUUACAGCUUGCAGUGUAUCGAUCUGCUUCUCUUGUUGGAGGUCUUUGCUCCAGUAACCCUCAUUUUGGGGUAAGAGCUCGGGUUGUAGGAUUGAGCUGCGCCGUUGGAGGGCGCCACAGAGGAGAUCAUGGGCUGGACCAUCCACUGCAAGUCCGGGCAUGAAGAGAUCGCCGUGACAGUUGGCACGAAAGAGGCACUUGAGACACUCAGAUCCGUGAACUCCUGAAAUAUAGAAUAUGAAAUCGUUUAUUAUAUGAUAAACAAUAUAUUUUGAUUAGUCACAAAACUAAUAUAUAUACAAUUUAUUUGUUUAUAUUACUGUUUAUGGGGUUUCAUUCAGAUUAUAACAUAAUACAGAACAUAAUAUACUUUAAAAACAUAAAUAAACUGACUUAAAUCAU
rnacentral:lncRNA from 1 species